GUGGGGAAUAUUGGACAAUGGGCGCAAGCCUGAUCCAGCCAUGCCGCGUGAGUGAUGAAGGCCUUAGGGUUGUAAAGCUCUUUCGUCAGGGAAGAUAAUGACGGUACCUGAAGAAGAAGCCCCGGCUAACUUCGUGCCAGCAGCCGCGGUAAUACGAAGGGGGCUAGCGUUGCUCGGAAUCACUGGGCGUAAAGCGCACGUAGGCGGCUUUCUAAGUCAGGGGUGAAAUCCUGGCGCUCAACUCCAGAACUGCCUUUGAUACUGGAGAGCUUGAGUUCGGGAGAGGUGAGUGGAACUGCGAGUGUAGAGGUGAAAUUCGUAGAUAUUCGCAAGAACACCAGUGGCGAAGGCGGCUCACUGGCCCGAUACUGACGCUGAGGUGCGAAAGCGUGGGGAGCAAACAGGAUUAGAAACCCCUGUAGUCC
rnacentral:rRNA from 1 species